CUAUGAUAUUGCGCUUUUAACGAAAGAAUCAAAUGAUUGAACAUUCCAAACUGUGUUGCAACAUUUAUUUGGUAUUAGAAUUGUGAUACUAAACAGCUGGAGGGGAGGAAAGUGAGACAGAACAUUGGACAGUGCUGAGUUACACCCAGGCAGCACUAGUUGCAGAAGGGGAUGAAGGUUCAGCCUCUUGUUCUGGCACCAGACUUCAGCAGCACUCUUUUGUAGUCCCUUCUCCCCACACCACAGCAGAGAGGCAGUAGAUCCCAACACUGCAAACCUCACAGAGUAUUUCAAGUUUCGUGUGGAACUCCCAGAGAAUACUCACUUAAAGCUCUUUUAAGUGGGAGGUACCAUAUUAAUUAUCAAGUACAGUAUUACACUAUUUUGUUAUUUUCUAUUCACGAUCACAUUUGGAAAGAAACUUCCCACCACGCCUGUAAAAGAAUUGAGCUGAUUAGUUGGUACUUUACAAAGUGUAUGACUAAAGAUGAACAAUGUUGUAUCCAGCCAUCGUUUCUACUAUUUAUCAAGCAAGUCAAUACCAUCCGGCAUGGUAAACGAGGUAACAUAAGUGUCCAUCGGGCAGCAAACAAGAAGAGAUACACGGGUAUAUGCAAUUCCGGACGAAUUGCGCCUUUUUUUCGACCGUUUUAGGAUUCAACAUUACUUGACAGCCGAAACCCUCCACCCGGGACCAUGAAUUCGACAUAUUCAAUACAUAACUCAUUCGACACUCCCCUUGUCGAAUAACGGACCAAUCGUCGAGUAGUGGGCGUCCUGGAUUCGACUUCCCGCCGUUUGGAGCCCUUUAUAGGACUUGUUUGCUGCGUGCUCAGCAGCCAUUUUGUGAACCUGCAGGGAGGUGUGUGGAGGUGCAGAGCUAGCAAAUUGAUUGUUGUUUGCUGUGGUAUCGUUUGUACACCCAGCAGGCUUUAAUCCAGGACGGACAGGAUACCUGUUACCCCGGAGGAGAGUCAUUUUUGGAGCGAUUUCUACAUUUGUAGGUAAGUACCACAUGUGGUCUGGCGUUGCAUGUAUGUGUUUGUGUAGUGGGGGGGUGCCAUGAGGUGUACAUGUGGCGUUGCUUUGGGGUGUUUGGGGUAUGUAUAUGUGUGCAGGUAUGUGUAUAUAGGUCCUGUUUGGAUUACUGCAGGUCCUGCUUGUAUCGCUGCAUGUUUUUUUUGGAGUUUUAUGUUUGGGGGUAGUUUUUCAAAAAUUUUUUUCAUAAAAUGUUUUUUGGGUCAUGCUUUUGCAUUGUUGUACCUCCAGCAUGUGCAGGGAUGCUUUUUGGCUUGUUUGGGGUGACUUUUGAG